rnacentral:pre_miRNA from 1 species
AAAGUGAAAGGUAGGAGGUCGAUGUGGAGGUAACUAAAAGUGGAAGGUAGGAGAUAGAUGUUGAGGUAACUAAAAGUGGUCCACAUCGACCUCCUACCUUCCACUUU